rnacentral:rRNA from 1 species
AUUGAACGCUGGCGGCAUGCCUUACACAUGCAAGUCGAACGGCAGCACGGGUGCUUGCACCUGGUGGCGAGUGGCGAACGGGCGAGUAAUACAUCGGAACGUACCUUAUCGUGGGGGAUAACGCAGCGAAAGUUGCGCUAAUACCGCAUACGCCCCGAGGGGGAAAGCGGGGGACCGUAAGGCCUCGCGCGAUUAGAGCGGCCGAUGUCUGAUUAGCUUGUUGGUGAGGUAAAAGCUCACCAAGGCGAUGAUCAGUAGCUGGUCUGAGAGGAAGAUCAGCCGCACUGGGACUGGGACACGGCCCAGACUCCUACGGGAGGCAGCAGUGGGGAAUUUUGGACAAUGGGGGCAACCCUGAUCCAGCAAUGCCGCGUGAGUGAAGAAGGCCUUCGGGUUGUAAAGCUCUUUUGUCAGGGAAGAAACAGCAGCUCUAACACAGUCUGCGAAUGACGGUACCUGAAGAAUAAGCACCGGCUAACUACGUGCCAGCCGCCGCAGUAA